CACAGAAGAACACAACUUGUUGGGCAAAAGUCAACAUGGAUUCUGUAAAAGCAAAUCAUGUCUUGCUAAUCUGUUAGAGUUCUUUGACGGGGUCAACAGACAUGUGGACAAGGGGGAUCCAGUGGGCAUAAGCCUUCUGGAAAACUU